rnacentral:rRNA from 1 species
CCUACGGGCGGCAGCAGUGGGGAAUAUUGCACAAUGGGCGCAAGCCUGAUGCAGCCAUGCCGCGUGUGUGAAGAAGGCCUUCGGGUUGUAAAGCACUUUCAGCGGGGAGGAAGGCGGUGAGGUUAAUAACCUCAUCGAUUGACGUUACCCGCAGCAGAAGCACCGGCUAACUCCGUGCCAGCAGCCGCGGUAAUACGGAGGGUGCAAGCGUUAAUCGGAAUUACUGGGCGUAAAGCGCACGCAGGCGGUCUGUCAAGUCGGAUGUGAAAUGCCCGGGCUCAACCUGGGAACUGCAUUCGAAACUGGCAGGCUAGAGUCUUGUAGAGGGGGGUAGAAUUCCAGGUGUAGCGGUGAAAUGCGUAGAGAUCUGGAGGAAUACCGGUGGCGAAGGCGGCCCCCUGGACAAAGACUGACGCUCAGGUGCGAAAGCGUGGGGAGCAAACAGGAUUAGAUACCCUAGUAGUC